rnacentral:lncRNA from 1 species
UAGGAUCAAGAGCAAACAUUGGUGAAAUUGAAGAUCUCACGAUCUCUUCGAGUCUUGGACAUGUUUUCUCGUAGUAAUUGUAAGAUAGACCUUCAUAAUAUUGAGUAUUGGAAUUGAAUGAAUAUUAUUGAGUAAGGAGCUCUGUUCUUAUAUGUACAGAGAUGAUCACAAGAAAGGCAAGGCAAUAUUCUAGGAGAUACAAUAGACUAAUUACAGACUAUAUAGCCGUUGAUAGACGUUAAUGAUUAUACACUUUCCAUACUCUUACACACCCCCUCAAGACGGACGGCCAUUCGAGAGUCCGAUCUUGACUAGUAGAGAAUCAAACCGUGUGCGAGGUAAUGGCUUCGUCAGUGCGUCGGCAAGUUGAUCAGCUGAGUUGACGUGAGAUACGCGCAGUUCACCGCUUUGCACAAAUUGUCGAACAAAAUGAUAGUCAAGAGCAAGAUGUUUCAUUCUGGAAUGAAAGACCGGAUUGGCAGCAAGGUAUGUAGCGCCAAUAUUGUCACAGUAGAUGACUGGUUUAGUAGGAGAUGGGGCUUCAAGCUCGGACAGAAGAGACUGAAGCCAGCAGACUUCAGCUGUAGUGGAUGCAAGAGACCGAUACUCUGCUUCUGUUGAUGAUCGAGCUACACCAGUUUGUUUCUUAGAUGACCAGGCAAUAGGGUGACGACCAAGAUAGACUAUAUAAGCACCAGUGGAAGUAUAGUCGUCUCGGUUCCCAGCCCAAUCCGCAUCAGUGAACGCGUGAAGACUAGGAGUGUUGUGAGCUGGAAGAAAGAUGCCGCGUGUGGUUGUGCCAGCAAGAUAACGAAGGAUGCGCUUGACUGCUUGCCAGUGGUCAGUGGUGGGCUUGUGCAUGAACUGCGACAGCUUAUUUACUGGGAAGGAGAUGUCAGGCCGCGUCAAUGAGAGAUACUGGAGGCUGCCGACUACUGCUCGAUAUUCUGAAGGAUCAGCCAAAGGAGUACCUGAAGACAACGUUAAAGUAGUGUUAGAACACAUAGGUGUCUUGAUUGAAUGACAGUCAGCCAUUUUUGUACGAUGUAGAAGAUCUAAUAUGUAACGACUUUGAUUCAAGUGCAUUCCCUCCUUUGUCCUAAUUACUUCUAUGCCAAGAAAGAACGACAAAUCAUCUAAAUCUUUUAAAGAAAAACGUUGAGAUAAGGAUUCGAUAAACCGGGAUGUAUGAGAGGGACUGUUUCCAGUGAUGAUCAAAUCAUCUACGUAGACAAGCAUGUAGAUGAGAACCCCAUUCUUGUUGUAGAUAAAGAGAGAGGCAUCCGCUACUGAGUUCUUGAAACCAGACUGGAGAAGAAACGUGCGGAGCUCAUUGUACCAUGCCCGUGGGGCUUGUUUAAGUCCAUAAAUAGCCUUCCGGAGCUUACACACUGCAGUGGGAUUAUCUUUAUCAAUAAAACCUGGGGGUUGCAUCAUGUAGACAUCUUCUUUGAGAUGACCUUGAAGAAAUGCAUUGUUGACAUCAAGUUGACGCAGGUUCCAAUUUUUAGUAACUGCAAUGCUGAGAAUGGUCCUGAUUGUGGCCGGCUUCACGACUGGACUAAAUGUGUCAUGAUAAUCGACACCUGGUCUUUGAGUGUAACCCUUGGCAACAAGUCUGGCUUUGUAGCGAGCUAUGGAGCCAUCUGCGUUUCUCUUUAUGGUGAAGAUCCACCUGCAACCUACAACAUUAACAUGAUUAGCUGCUUCAGUGAGUGUUUCUAAAUCCCAUGAAUGAUUCCCUGUUUGAGCAUCAAACUCAUCACUCAUAGCUUUGCGCCAAUGGGGGCUCUUGAGGGCUUCAGCAACUGUUUUAGGAAUCUGUUCCAAGAGCGAGGUAGUGGUAGUAUGAAGGUUUAGUUUCUGGACUGGUUUCCGGGUACGAGUACUCGCACGAGUAGGUUGAGGAAGUUGGGUUGAAGGUGGUAUAGAUGGAGGAGGUAAAGGAACAUCGAGAGGUGGAGUGUUGCUGGGAGUGGUAGUAGCAGGAGGGUUAGGCUGAGGUGGGUUUGUUGCGGGUGGGGGUUCAGCAUGAGGAACCGGUUGCGGUAUAAGAGAGACAACAGGAUGAGAGCGAGUGGGGACGUCUUGAUCAUCCUCUGUUGAAACUUUUGAAGAAGAAAUAGAGAAUGGAAAAACCGAUUCAUGAAAAACUACAUGACGCGAAGUAUAAAUCCGUUUUGUUUCUCUAUCAAAACAGAAAUAGGCACUCUGUGUUAUUGAAUAGCCUAGAAAGACACAAGGUGUCGAUCGUGCAUCAAGCUUGUUAGAUGCAUAUGGUCUAAGCCAUGGAAAACACAGGCAGCCAAAGAUCCGAAGUUUUUCAUAAUUUGGAACAUGUCCAUGUAACUUUUGAAAAGGAGUUUGAAAAUUUAAAACCGGAGUUGGCAUUCUGUUUAUAAGAUAGACAGCCGUAGCAAAUGCAUAAGUCCAAAACGAUUUAGGCAUUGAAGCAUGAGAUAACAGAGCAAGACCAGUCUCGACUAUAUGUCGAUGUCUACGCUCCGAUAUACCGUUAUGUUCUGGAGUAUGCGGCGGACUUGUCAUAUGAGAGAUGCCAUGAGAAGCUAAAAAGGAUGCUAACGCUAUAUAUUCUCCCCCAUUGUCAGUGUAUAGAGUUCUAAGUUUGGUUUGAAAUCGAUUUUCAACCAAGACUUUGAAUCUAGUAAAAACAUCAGACACUUGGGAUUUUUGUUUCAAUGGAUAUAACCAUGUAUAGCGUGUAAAAUGAUCUACAAAGAUAACAUAAUACUUGAAACCAUCUUCUGAAAUUUGUGGAGAUGUCCACACAUCUGAAAAGACUAUGUCAAGCGGAAAAGAUGAUCGCAAAGUAGAAUUUUUAAAAGGCAACUUGUGCAUUUUAUUAAUAGAGCAAGAAGUGCAUGGAGAAGCCAUUAAAACACUAGAUGUAGUAGGUAACUGAUAAAUAGAAACUAGUUUUUGAAGAAUUGGAAAAGCAGGAUGACCAAGACGCGAGUGCCAAUCAGACAUAGUGGUCUUGACAGCUGAAGCAAAUGCAAGAGAAGGAGGUUUAGAGGUUUUUGAAAGCGGCCAUGCAUAGGUACCAUCUUUAGGCUUGCCCUCCAGACGAAGAGCCCCCGUCUGCAAGUCUCUCACCUGAAAGUAAGUUGGAGUAAACGUGACAGCAACCCCAUUAGUUGAGCAUAAUUGAAACACAGAAAUUAAGUUCUUUUGUAACGAUGGAACACAUAAUACACUAUUAAGAAAGAAAGGUUUUGUAUAAGAAGGAAGAGAUAAAGAACCAGUGUGGGAGAUGUUGAGGCCUGACCCAUCACCAAGUAAGACACCAUCACCGCCACUGUAAGGAUUGUGGAGAGACAGAUUAGCCAAGUCAGAUGUCAUGUGGUGGGAAGCGCCACUAUCAAAGAGCCAUGUAGAUGCAUCAGACAUGAUUGGUUGAUUCAUCGGAGAAGGCAUGAUUGCUUGAUUAGCUUGAGGAUGCCACGCCAGGUUGAGUUGUUGAGAGUUCCAAGACUGUUGAGGUCGCAUGGCAGUCGCUUGUGGUGGCGUUGCUGCACCUCGAACAAGACGGAACUGUGGACAAUACUUGGCACUAUGUCCUUGUGUGCCGCAUGCUUGACAUCUGCCAAGAUAAGGUUUGUUAAACCUUGGUUGGAAUGUGGCUUGAUUCCCUCUGUUCUGCGAAUAGUUGUUGUGAUUGUUGUUGUUGUUCUUCCAGUGAGAGCGUGGUCUAGCAUCAGUAGCGUGUGCCACAAUCGGAGUCGCAGUAGAAGAGUCUUUACACAUGAGCAUGGCCUCGCGAUUAAUGAGUCUUUCGUAUAGCUCAGUGAACGGGAUCGUAGUGUCACGGCCGUUGAUAGCAUCAAUCUCUGGUUUGUACUCCUCAGGGAGUCCAUCAAGAAUUCUCUCAGUAACAUCUUCUGGAUCCAUUGGCUUGCCGAGCAAGGCUAGCUCAUCAACCUUGGACUUAACUAGGCGCAGAUAUUCACUAAUGGUCUUGGUACCUUUGACAGAAGAUUCAAUUUGCUUUUUGAUCUGGCGCACAUGACCACGAGUCGGAAUACCAAAGGUAGACAGGAGAAUAGUCCACACCUCUUUUGUUGUUGUUGCGCUGGAGACGACGGUCUGAACCGGUAAGGUGAUCGCACCUAUGAUAGCGCUGUAGAGAAGCCGGUCUUGUCGCCUCCAAGGAGCAAACGCCGGGUUUGGUUGAGCCUCGCCAUGAACAUUAAUAGUCUGAGCAGGUGCGGUGUUGUUAUCAUCAAUAAAGUGAUGAAGUUCAUGACCCUCAAGAAGCGCACGGAUCUGGCGACUCCACAUCAGAUAGUUCGUCGUGGUGAGUUUGGUCACGCUCGACAUGUUGACCGAGAGCAGGGUGGUGCGUGGAUCAUCGGGAUUGAACACAACCGUACGUUCAGCCGUGUGUUCAUUCAUUGUCAUUGAUACUUGGAGAGAAAGUUAGGUCUGAGACAAGAAGAAGAAACGAGAUUUGGGAGAAGAGAGGCGGAAGAGAAAAGAAAAAAAAAUAGGUUUUCACCUAUAGGGCUCUGAUACCAUAUUGAGUAUUGGAAUUGAAUGAAUAUUAUUGAGUAAGGAGCUCUGUUCUUAUAUGUACAGAGAUGAUCACAAGAAAGGCAAGGCAAUAUUCUAGGAGAUACAAUAGACUAAUUACAGACUAUAUAGCCGUUGAUAGACGUUAAUGAUUAUACACUUUCCAUACUCUUACACAUAAUUGGUCUCAUUUUGGUCGCCACUAAUGCAGCUGCAUAACAAGCUUAUGAUUAGAAAACAUGAUGCAAAAGCUGCAGCUAUGCUCUUUGGUUUCAUCAUCGUCUUUUUUGUUGUUUCUUUAACUGGAGUUUGAGUUGAUUGAAGAGAAAAUGACUUUCGU